UUAAAUUGAAGAGUUUGAUCAUGGCUCAGAUUGAACGCUGGCGGCAGGCUUAACACAUGCAAGUCGAGCGGAAACGAGUUAUCUGAACCUUCGGGGAACGAUAACGGCGUCGAGCGGCGGACGGGUGAGUAAUGCCUAGGAAAUUGCCCUGAUG
rnacentral:rRNA from 1 species